rnacentral:rRNA from 1 species
GACGAACGCUGGCGGCGUGCCUAACACAUGCAAGUCGAGCGGGGAUUUAAGUGGAAGUUCUUCGGAAUGGAGAUUUAAAUUCUAGCGGCGGACGGGUGAGUAACGCGUGAACAAUCUGUCCCGGACAGGGGGAUAACACUUGGAAACAGGUGCUAAUACCGCAUAAGACCACGGCCUCGCAUGGGGCUGAGGUAAAAGGAGCAAUCCGGUUCGGGGUGAGUUCGCGUCCGAUUAGCUAGUUGGUGAGGUAACGGCCCACCAAGGCGACGAUCGGUAGCCGGCCUGAGAGGGUGAACGGCCACAUUGGAACUGAGAGACGGUUCAAACUCCUACGGGAGGCAGCAGUGGGGAAUAUUGGGCAAUGGGCGAAAGCCUGACCCAGCAACGCCGCGUGAGGGAAGAAGGUUUUCGGAUUGUAAACCUCUGUCCUAUGGGACGAAGGAAGUGACGGUACCAUAGGAGGAAGCCCCGGCUAACUACGUG